rnacentral:rRNA from 1 species
UGCAGUCGAGCGGUAGCACAGAGAGCUUGCUCUCGGGUGACGAGCGGCGGACGGGUGAGUAAUGUCUGGGAAACUGCCUGAUGGAGGGGGAUAACUACUGGAAACGGUAGCUAAUACCGCAUAACGUCGCAAGACCAAAGUGGGGGACCUUCGGGCCUCAUGCCAUCAGAUGUGCCCAGAUGGGAUUAGCUGGUAGGUGGGGUAACGGCUCACCUAGGCGACGAUCCCUAGCUGGUCUGAGAGGAUGACCAGCCACACUGGAACUGAGACACGGUCCAGACUCCUACGGGAGGCAGCAGUGGGGAAUAUUGCACAAUGGGCGCAAGCCUGAUGCAGCCAUGCCGCGUGUGUGAAGAAGGCCUUCGGGUUGUAAAGCACUUUCAGCGGGGAGGAAGGCGGUGAGGUUAAUAACCUCACCGAUUGACGUUACCCGCAGAAGAAGCACCGGCUAACUCCGUGCCAGCAGCCGCGGUAAUACGGAGGGUGCAAGCGUUAAUCGGAAUUACUGGGCGUAAAGCGCACGCAGGCGGUCUGUCAAGUCGGAUGUGAAAUCCCCGGGCUCAACCUGGGAACUGCAUUCGAAACUGGCAGGCUAGAGUCUUGUAGAGGGGGGUAGAAUUCCAGGUGUAGCGGUGAAAUGCGUAGAGAUCUGGAGGAAUACCGGUGGCGAAGGCGGCCCCCUGGACAAAGACUGACGCUCAGGUGCGAAAGCGUGGGGAGCAAACAGGAUUAGAUACCCUGGUAGUCCACGCUGUAAACGAUGUCGAUUUGGAGGUUGUGCCCUUGAGGCGUGGCUUCCGGAGCUAACGCGUUAAAUCGACCGCCUGGGGAGUACGGCCGCAAGGUUAAAACUCAAAUGAAUUGACGGGGGCCCGCACAAGCGGUGGAGCAUGUGGUUUAAUUCGAUGCAACGCGAAGAACCUUACCUGGUCUUGACAUCCACAGAACUUUCCAGAGAUGGAUUGGUGCCUUCGGGAACUGUGAGACAGGUGCUGCAUGGCUGUCGUCAGCUCGUGUUGUGAAAUGUUGGGUUAAGUCCCGCAACGAGCGCAACCCUUAUCCUUUGUUGCCAGCGGUCCGGCCGGGAACUCAAAGGAGACUGCCAGUGAUAAACUGGAGGAAGGUGGGGAUGACGUCAAGUCAUCAUGGCCCUUACGACCAGGGCUACACACGUGCUACAAUGGCAUAUACAAAGAGAAGCGACCUCGCGAGAGCAAGCGGACCUCAUAAAGUAUGUCGUAGUCCGGAUUGGAGUCUGCAACUCGACUCCAUGAAGUCGGAAUCGCUAGUAAUCGUAGAUCAGAAUGCUACGGUGAAUACGUUCCCGGGCCUUGUACACACCGCCCGUCACACCAUGGGAGUGGGUUGCAAAAGAAGUAGGUAGCUUAACCUUCGGGAGGGC